AUGCCCGCAGAGAGAUGGUUUUAUCUAUUCAAGAUCCUCAUCAUGGGGAGACACGUGGCAGAGACACGUGGCGGCUCAAUGGAGCAAAGGCAUGGGAACGCAUGCAGGGUGGAUGGGACUACGUUCCAGGUUAGCCUCUUCGGCGAUCCUGAUACGGCUGCUCAGCAACAAGUGCUGAACAAAGAGGAAAUACACACACCGCCCCGACCCAUUGCCUCUAGCGCAAAGGAACAGAUAGAUCUCUUCUGUUCGCAAGUAAAGCGGACCCUGGACCCAAUACUGGCCAGGCCCACGGACCGGGCGCCACCUGCGACCAUGAGGAGACCAAGGCAAAAGAGACCCCCAGUGUCUAGCCCAAGGAGAAGGAUCCGUCUGGCUAUGGGGCCAGGUCGGCGAUCGGUGGGCUCCAAACAGCAACAUGUUCUCAUACGCAAACUAUGUUUGGCACACGAGGCGGAGGUGAUCACCAACGAAGCAUUGCAGAUGUACGCAGAUCUGUUCUCGAGGCUGCUAACUAACUGUCAUGUUGCAGCGAUCUUGGCCCUGUUUGGUUGGGAGGCGUCGGCCCUUCCCCUACAGGAGGAGGCCAAGGAGGUGGAUGGACGGCAUUAUUUUCCUGUGGAUUGCGGAUGGUAG
rnacentral:rRNA from 1 species